AUGCUGCUGUACGUCGCCUUGGGGCUGCUCGUGCACCUCGUGUUCUUCGCCUCCAUCUUCGACAUUUAUUUCACCUCUCCUUUGGUUCAUGGAAUGACUCCUCGGUUUACGCCCCUGCCUCCCCCGGCAAAAAGACUGAUGCUGUUUGUUGCUGACGGCCUGCGAGCAGAUAAGCUUUAUGAAUUAGAUGAAGAUGGGAAUUCUAGGGCGCCAUUUCUUAGGAAUGUCAUAAUGAACGAAGGCAGCUGGGGGAUCUCUCACACGCAUGUGCCGACCGAGUCUCGGCCCGGGCACGUGGCCAUUAUUGCAGGGUUCUAUGAAGAUGUCAGCGCAGUUGCCAAAGGAUGGAAGGAAAAUCCUGUAGAAUUUGAUUCUCUUCUUAAUGAAACCAGGUACACAUGGUCCUGGGGAAGCCCAGACAUCCUGGCUAUGUUUGCCAAAGGUGACUCUGGAAACCAUAUUUUUACAGACAGUUAUGAUGCAUCCAGUGAGGAUUUUGGUGCCCACGAUGUAACAAAACUGGACACGUGGGUUUUUGAUCAUGUGAAGGAGUUCUUUCACGCUGCCAGAAACAACCAAUCUUUGCUUUCUAAACUAAACGGAGACAGAAUAGUCUUCUUCUUGCAUUUAUUAGGGAUAGACACAAAUGGACAUGCUCAUCGACCAACAUCAAGGGAAUAUUCAGACAAUAUUAAAUUAGUUGAUAAAGAAUUGAAAGAAAUUGAGGCUACUGUCAAAGACUUUUAUGGAAAUGACGGGAAAACAGCAUUUGUCUUCACCGCAGACCAUGGGAUGACCGACUGGGGCUCCCAUGGAGCCGGUCAUCCUUUAGAGACUUGUACUCCUUUUAUCGCUUGGGGAGCUGGAAUCAGGCUUCCCCAAAAAGUGUCAGCUCAGAACUUUGAUGACUCAUAUUUGCAAGAAUGGAAGUUGGAGAACUGGAAGAGACAAGAUAUUAAUCAGGCUGAUGUCGCACCGUUGAUGGCAGCUCUGAUUGGAGUUCCCUUCCCUCUUAACUCAGUGGGAAUCAUUCCUGUGGAUAUGCUUAAUACCUCUGAUCUCUUCAAAGCAGAGAGCAUGUUUACAAAUGCAGUACAGAUUCUUGAACAGUUCAAGGUAAAAAUGACUCAGAAAAAAGAAGCUACUUUGUCGUUUUUGUUUACACCAUUUAAAAUCCCAGUUAUUCAAGGCUUUGUCACCGUACUGUUGGCCUUCCGUCCGUGGUGCUUCCUUGGAUACCUCUUGCUCUUUAUCCUGGGAGUUGAAGUAUUGGUGCUCAGCUUUUUCUACCGCUGCACGCUCACAGCGGGACUCGUCGCAUUCGCCGCUUGGCCGUUGAUCACGCCGCUGUGGACUCGAGCAAAGCGCACCUCGCUGAGUUGGAUUCUCUUCUGUUUCCUGCUGGCCGUGUUCCCGCUUUUGCCUGUCGUAGGACGAGAGCCAGACAUCUUCCUAGUAGUAGGUGCAGGCUUGCUGGUUCUUCUGCUAUCCCUGUUUGUUGUAACAUCUGUCAUAAAAAGAAACGAUAGUUUUAUAAAUGAAGAGCUGGUGUUACAUCUAUUACAGAUGCUGAGCAUCGUGCUUUCCGUGUGCGUUGUGUAUGGGACCCAUAAGAGUCUGCUCGAGAAACAGGGACUGCCGCUUCUCAAUCAGAUUGUUAGCUGGACAAUAUUAGCCUCCUCCUUCGUCACGCCUCUCCUGAGCCCUCCCGUCCUCUUCGAUCGACUGUUCAGCAUUCUUCUUGCCUCGAUGUCGACCUACCUACUUCUAAGUACUGGGUGCGAAGCUCUCUUUCCGUUAGUAUUGUCGUGUCUGAUGUUUGUCUGGAUACACCUGGAACAAGAAACCCUGCAGCAAUCUGCUGUUUCCUGUAAACAGAAGGUCUCCACCAUCCAGUUUGCCUGUAACACUGACAUGACCCAGUGUCGAGACCUCUACCUGGAUGACAUCCGCAGGGCCUUUUUCCUUGUUUUCUUCUUAGUGACAGCCUUUUUUGGAACUGGAAAUAUAGCUUCUGUUAACAGCUUUGACCCUUCCUCCGUCUACUGCUUCCUGACCGUGUUCAGUCCUUUCAAGAUGGGAGCCCUGAUAAUGUGGAAGAUUUUAAUCCCCUUUGUUCUUGUGAUGUGUGCUUUUGAAGCUGUUCAGUUAACUACUCAGUUAUCUUCGAAAAGCCUUUUCCUCAUGGUUAUCAACAUAUCAGACAUCAUGGCUUUGCAUUUUUUCUUCUUGAUCAAAGAUUAUGGCAGCUGGCUUGAUAUUGGAACAAGCAUCAGCCACUACGUGAUUGUCAUGUCCAUGACCAUCUUCAUGGUGUUUCUCAACUGCCUAGCUCAGAUGCUCACCACAAAGAAGCUCAGCCUGUGCGGCAGACCCAAAAGCCACGUCACAUAA
rnacentral:lncRNA from 1 species